rnacentral:lncRNA from 1 species
CGGCCGUCGGUGCUGCUUUUCCCGGCUGCUUCUUGGGCGGAGGAGGUUCCGGCCGUCGGUGCUGCUUUCCCCGGCUGCUUCUUGGGCGGAGGAGGUUCCGGACGUCGGUGCUGCUUUCCCCGGUUGCUUCUUGGGCGGAGGAGGGAGCUCGGUCCAUCUGUUCACCCAGCCGCCUGGAUCCAUAGGGGACAUGUCCACGAUUCAACGCCCACCCGACGUUGUCACCAAGGUAAUAAAUAAUCCAUUCUAAUCCAUCCUGAUUCUCCUGAAGAAGCAUAUUCGCUUGAUUAGCAUGGUCUUCUACAGCAGUAUUAUGCUCAUGCAAAUCACCACAGAUAGCAUCAACUAAUUUAACUCGAUCGAAAAGUACAUAGAAAAGGCAAGCUAACAUACCACGUACAAUAACCAUCCUGGACAUCUGGAUGUCCAGUAUUACAGUGGAAUGAGUUGAUUUUGCACCUGUAAAACUGAAACUGAUUUCUAACUUCCUCUCCUUCUUCAGCAGGGUGAUCUGCAUUGGUUUUAGACAUCAAUCUAUAUAGCCCCGGUCUUCCAAUUUAUGGUUGAGCUUUA